rnacentral:misc_RNA from 1 species
AAGUCGUAACAAGGUUUCCGUAGGUGAACCUGCGGAAGGAUCAUUACUGGAGUGCCCUUCGGGGCUUAUCCUUCUACCCUUUGAUGUUAUCGACAUUAUCCUUUCAUCUUUUGGCGGGUUCGCCCGCCAAAAGGAAUCUCAAACUCGUUAUGAAUCUGUUAUCUUCUGAAUUAAACAUAAAAUAAAUUAAAACUUUCAACAACGGAUCUCUUGGUUCUG